GUGUGUUUCCAGUUCCCAAGGACUUAUGGUAUCACCAUCAAUUAUAACUACAAUCUUGCGACUUGUUCGCGCAACCAACAUAACCUUAGGGCAACAGUCAUCCACACAAGAAUGGCAUGCACACAUUUGGUUUGACCGAUAUGACCAUGUCCAAAAAACACAAACACCUAAGACACCAUAUACCACACCCCCUUUCAUGUUGAGGUAGUAGGAAUCAGGAGAGGGUGACCACUACUGGAAGGCGGUCUUCUGCAGUAUCAACUCAGAGGCCACAUGGUGGUAGGGCUCCGAUGCCCUGCUAGUUGGGAUAUUACACCUACUCAAUAGACAAUAUAGUACUUGAUAUCGACCGACUGGUCACAGUUUAACCCAGACUUCCUACACUACCUAUAGGAGCCAGG